rfam:Loxodonta africana unplaced genomic scaffold scaffold_6, whole genome shotgun sequence.
UUUUUAGUAUAAGUAUGUCCUGUGCAAUAUUUGGGACAUACUUACAUUAAAA